ACGAACGCUGGCGGCGUGCUUAACACAUGCCAGUCGAACGGAAAGGCCUGCUUUCCCUUGUGGAUUGCGGGUACUCGAGUGGCGAACGGGUGAGUAACACGUGAGUGAUCUGCCCCCAACUUGGGUAUAAGCCUGGGAAACUGGGUCUAAUUCCCGAUAGGACUGCAGGGUGGUGCCUGUGGUGGAAAACGAUUUUCUAGUGGUUGGGGAUGAGCUCGCGGCCUAUCAGCUUGUUGGUGGGGUAAUGGCCUACCAAGGCGGCGACGGGUAGCCGGCCGGAGAGGGUGGACGGCCACAUUGGGACUGAGAUACGGCCCAGACUCCUACGGGAGGCAGCAGUGGGGAAUAUUGCACAAUGGGCGGAAGCCUGAUGCAGCGACGCCGCGUGGGGGAUGACGGCCUUCGGGUUGUAAACUCCUUUCGACCGCGAGGAAGCCACCUGGUUGGAAGGGUGGUGACGGUAGUGGUAGAAGAAGCACCGGCUAACUACGUG
rnacentral:rRNA from 1 species